rnacentral:rRNA from 1 species
AGAGUUUGAUUAUGGCUCAGGAUGAACGCUAGCUACAGGCUUAACACAUGCAAGUCGAGGGGUAGCAGGGUAGCAAUACCGCUGACGACCGGCGCACGGGUGAGUAACACGUAUCCAACCUUCCCAUAACUCGGGGAUAGCCUUUCGAAAGAAGAUUAAUACCCGAUAGUACUUAAGAAAGGCAUCUUUUUUAAGUUAAAGAUUUAUGGUUAUGGAUGGGGAUGCGUUCCAUUAGAUAGUUGGUGAGGUAACGGCUCACCAAGUCUUCGAUGGAUAGGGGUUCUGAGAGGAAGGUCCCCCACAUUGGUACUGAGACACGGACCAAACUCCUACGGGAGGCAGCAGUGAGGAAUAUUGGUCAAUGGGCGAGAGCCUGAACCAGCCAAGUAGCGUGAAGGAUGAAAGGUCCUAUGGAUUGUAAACUUCUUUUAUAGUAGAAUAAAGUGAUCCACGUGUGGAUUUUUGUAUGUAUACUAUGAAUAAGGAUCGGCUAACUCCGUGCCAGCAGCUGC